rnacentral:rRNA from 1 species
CCUACGGGCGGCAGCAGUGGGGAAUAUUGCACAAUGGGGGGAACCCUGAUGCAGCAACGCCGCGUGGGUGAAGAAGUACUUCGGUAUGUAAAGCCCUGUCAGCAGGGAAGAAAAUGACGGUACCUGACCAAGAAGCCCCGGCUAACUACGUGCCAGCAGCCGCGGUAAUACGUAGGGGGCAAGCGUUAUCCGGAUUUACUGGGUGUAAAGGGAGCGUAGACGGCAAGGCAAGUCUGGAGUGAAAGCCCGUGGCUCAACCACGGGACUGCUUUGGAAACUGUGUUGCUGGAGUGCAGGAGGGGUAAGCGGAAUUCCUAGUGUAGCGGUGAAAUGCGUAGAUAUUAGGAAGAACACCGGUGGCGAAGGCGGCUUACUGGACUGUAACUGACGUUGAGGCUCGAAGGCGUGGGGAGCAAACAGGAUUAGAUACCUCGGUAGUC